AGAGUUUGAUCAUGGCUCAGAGCGAACGCUGGCGGCAGGCCUAACACAUGCAAGUCGAACGGACCCUUCGGGGUUAGUGGCGGACGGGUGAGUAACACGUGGGAACGUGCCUUUUGGUUCGGAAUAGCUCCUGGAAACGGGUGGUAAUGCCGAAUGUGCCCUUCGGGGGAAAGAUUUAUCGCCAUUAGAGCGGCCCGCGUCUGAUUAGCUAGUUGGUGAGGUAAAGGCUCACCAAGGCUACGAUCAGUAGCUGGUCUGAGAGGAUGACCAGCCACAUUGGGACUGAGACACGGCCCAAACUCCUACGGGAGGCAGCAGUGGGGAAUCUUGCGCAAUGGGCGAAAGCCUGACGCAGCCAUGCCGCGUGAAUGAUGAAGGUCUUAGGAUUGUAAAAUUCUUUCACCGGGGACGAUAAUGACGGUACCCGGAGAAGAAGCCCCGGCUAACUUCGUGCCAGCAGCCGCGGUAAUACGAAGGGGGCUAGCGUUGCUCGGAAUUACUGGGCGUAAAGGGAGCGUAGGCGGACAUUUAAGUCAGGGGUGAAAUCCCAGAGCUCAACUCUGGAACUGCCUUUGAUACUGGAUGUCUUGAGUGUGAGAGAGGUAUGUGGAACUCCGAGUGUAGAGGUGAAAUUCGUAGAUAUUCGGAAGAACACCAGUGGCGAAGGCGACAUACUGGCUCAUUACUGACGCUGAGGCUCGAAAGCGUGGGGAGCAAACAGGAUUAGAUACCCUGGUAGUCCACGCCGUAAACGAUGANAGGGAGUUGUCGGGGUGUUUACAUCUCGGUGACGCAGCUAACGCAUAAGCAUCCGCCU
rnacentral:rRNA from 1 species